rnacentral:rRNA from 1 species
GAUGAACGCUAGCCACAGGCUUAACACAUGCAAGUCGAGGGGAAACGAUAUUGGAAGCUUGCUUCCGAUAGGCGUCGACCGGCGCACGGGUGAGUAACGCGUAUCCAACCUGCCCACCACUUGGGGAUAACCUUGCGAAAGUAAGACUAAUACCCAAUGAUAUCCCACGAAGGCAUCCGAAUGGGAUUAAAGAUUUAUCGGUGAUGGAUGGGGAUGCGUCUGAUUAGCUUGUUGGCGGGGUAACGGCCCACCAAGGCGACGAUCAGUAGGGGUUCUGAGAGGAAGGUCCCCCCACAUUGGAACUGAGACACGGUCCAAACUCCUACGGGAGGCAGCAGUGAGGAAUAUUGGUCAAUGGGGCGAGAGCCUGAACCAGCCAAGUAGCGUGCAGGAAGACGGCCCUAUGGGUUGUAAACUGCUUUAUAAGGGAAUAAAGUGAGUCUCGUGAGACUUUUUGCAUGUACCUUAUGAAUAAGGACCGGCUAAUUCCGUGCCAGCGG